AUUGAACGCUGGCGGCAGGCCUAACACAUGCAAGUCGAACGAGUGGCGGACGGGUGAGUAAUGUCUGGGACACUGCCUGAUGGGGGGGGAUAACUACUGGAAGCUGUAGCUAAUACCGCAUACCAUCGGAUGUGCCCAUAUGGGAUUAGCUAGUGGGUGGGGUAACGGCUCACCUGGGCGACGAUCCCUAGCUGGUCUGAGAGGAUGACCAGCCACACUGGAACUGAGACACGGUCCAGACUCCUACGGGAGGCAGCAGUGGGGAAUAUUGCACAAUGGGCGCAAGCCUGAUGCAGCCAUGCCGCGUGUAUGAAGAAGGCCUUCGGGUUGUAAAGUACUUUCAGCGGGGAGGCGUUACCCGCAGAAGAAGCACCGGCUAACUCCGUGCCAGCAGCCGCGGUAAUUC
rnacentral:rRNA from 1 species